rnacentral:rRNA from 1 species
GAUGAACGCUGGCGGCGUGCCUAAUACAUGCAAGUCGAGCGAAGCGGGGACGGGUGAGUAACACGUGGAUAACCUCCUAUAAGACGGGGAUAACUUCCGGAAAACGGAGCUACCCCGGAUACUUAUAGAUGGCUCCGCGCUGAAUUAGCUUGUUGGUAAGGUAACGGCUUACCAAGGCAACGAUGCAUAGCCGGCCUGAGAGGGUGAUCGGCCACACUGGAACUGAGACCCGUGCCAUACUCCUACGUGAGGCAGCAGUAGGGAAUCUUCCGCGAUGGGCGAAAGCCUGACGGAGCAACGCCGCGUGAGUGAUGAAGGUCUUCGGAUCGUAAAGCUCUUUUAUUAGGGAAGCGGUACCUAAUCAGAAAGCCCCGGCUAACUACGUGCCAGCAGCCGCGGUAAUUC